AUUGAACGCUGGCGGCAUGCCUUACACAUGCAAGUCGAACGGCAGCACGGGCUUCGGUCUGGUGGCGAGUGGCGAACGGGUGAGUAAUACAUCGGAACGUGCCCAGUCGUGGGGGAUAACGUAGCGAAAGCUACGCUAAUACCGCAUACGAUCUAAGGAUGAAAGCGGGGGACCGUAAGGCCUCGCGCGAUUGGAGCGGCCGAUGGCAGAUUAGGUAGUUGGUGGGGUAAAGGCCUACCAAGCCGACGAUCUGUAGCUGGUCUGAGAGGACGACCAGCAACACUGGGAAUGAGACACGGCCCAGACGCCUACGGGAGGCAGCAGUGGGAAUUUUGGACAAUGGGCGCAAGCCUGAUCCAGCCAUUCCGCGUGCAGGAUGAAGGCCCUCGGGUUGUAAACUGCUUUUGUACGGAACGAAAAGGCUCUGGUUAAUACCUGGGGCUCAUGACGGUACCGUAAGAAUAAGCACCGGCUAACUACGUGCCAGCAGCCGCCGUAA
rnacentral:rRNA from 1 species